rnacentral:rRNA from 1 species
AUACGUAGGGGGUUAGCGUUAUCCGGAAUUACUGGGCGUAAAGGGCGUGUAGGCGGCCGAGCAAGUCAAGUGUGAAAAGCCCCGGCUUAACCGAGGCAUUGCACAUGAAACUGCAUGGCUUGAGUGCAGGAGAGGGAAGUGGAAUUCCUAGUGUAGCGGUGAAAUGCGUAGAUAUUAGGAGGAACACCAGUGGCGAAGGCGACUUCCUGGACUGUAACUGACGCUGAGGCGCGAAAGCGUGGGUAGCAAACAGGAUUAGAUACCCUGGUAGUCCACGCUGUAAACGAUGGGUACUAGGUGUGGGUAGUUCACUCUAUCCGUGCCGCAGCAAACGCAAUAAGUACCCCGCCUGGGGAGUACGGCCGCAAGGUUGAA